rnacentral:ncRNA from 1 species
UAAAAGUUUUAUUCUUGCUUAUUAAUUUAUUUUGAGUUGAUUUUAUAUGUAAAGUAUUUUGAGCAUGAGAUCUUAAGGAUUAAAUGAUGAAUUUUGCAGUAAAGAAUAUUAUAAAUUUAAAGAAUUUUUGAUCUAGUCAUUUUCAUUAAAUGUUGAUUAAAUAUGUGCCAGCAGUCGCGGUUAUACAUAAAAUAUGAAUGAAUAUUAUUAGUUAAAUUAGUUAUUUUAUUCCUUUUAAUCUUAUUUUGAUUUUUAUUUGGUGAAAUUUUAAAUUUUGUUUAUGAUUAAGGUUGAUAAAAAGAGGCUAUGAAAUCUUUUAUUUAGACUAGGAUUAGAUACCCUAUUAUUGUAGAUAUAAUUUAUUUAAACUUGAGUAGUAUUAGUUAUGGUCUUAAAACUUAAAGAAUUUGGCGGUAUCUUAGUCUGUUCAGAGGAAUCUGUCCUAUAAUCGAUAGUCCGCGUUGAACCUUACUUGAUUUUAUUUAGUAUGUAUACCGCCGUUUAUUGAAAAUCUUUUUAGGGUAUUUUCUUGAUAUUUUAUUUAGUAGUAUUUCAGGUCAAGGUGCAGCUUAUAAUUAAGUGGAGAUGGAUUACAUUUCAAUAAUGAAUAAUGAAUUAUUAGUUGUAAUUUUAGUAUGAAGGUGGAUUUGAUAGUAAUUUUGUAUAUAUUAUUGUUGUGAUUAGAGCUCUAAGAUGUGCACACAUCGCCCGUCGCUCUCGUUAAUUAAGAUGAGAUAAGUCGUAACAAAGUAGGUGUACCGGAAGGUGUAGCUAGAAUGAU